AACACAUGCAAGUCGAGCGCCCCGCAAGGGGAGCGGCAGACGGGUGAGUAACGCGUGGGAAUCUACCCAUCUCUACGGAAUAACUCAGGGAAACUUGUGCUAAUACCGUAUACGCCCUUCGGGGGAAAGAUUUAUCGGAGAUGGAUGAGCCCGCGUUGGAUUAGCUAGUUGGUGGGGUAAAGGCCUACCAAGGCGACGAUCCAUAGCUGGUCUGAGAGGAUGAUCAGCCACAUUGGGACUGAGACACGGCCCAAACUCCUACGGGAGGCAGCAGUGGGGAAUAUUGGACAAUGGGCGCAAGCCUGAUCCAGCCAUGCCGCGUGAGUGAUGAAGGCCUUAGGGUUGUAAAGCUCUUUCACCGGAGAAGAUAAUGACGGUAUCCGGAGAAGAAGCCCCGGCUAACUUCGUGCCAGCAGCCGCGGUAAUACGAAGGGGGCUAGCGUUGUUCGGAAUUACUGGGCGUAAA
rnacentral:rRNA from 1 species